rnacentral:ncRNA from 1 species
AAACCGGGAGAGACCGCACAUGCGGCGCCGAAGGGGAACGCAGAAGCUCUCAGGCAAAAGAACCGGUU